CCAAAAGGGGUUAACGACAAUGGCUGCACUGAGGAUGCAGUUUCAUGGGCAAUACCCAUUAAAACAUAUGAAGCAACCUGCUCAAUUACAAUUGAAAGAGAAAUUGCAUGUCAUAAAAGGAUGGAGAGGAACGAGGCUUAUUUAUGAUAUGGUGCACAACCUAAAAAUGAAAGGAUCAAGCAGAGUGCAUACCUCUGUUUCUUUCUGAAGUGACACGAGAGAAGUAACAAGAGACUUUGCAUUUGGUCUCUCACGUGCCUCAUAUUGCAAGCAGCGUGAAGCUAAACGCACAAGUUCAGUUC